AUCCCAUGUCAAAUGGCAUCAUCUGGAAGUAUAAAACUAAGGGAGGCUUGGCCUGGGAGCCACCCGGUGCACAUUUCUGUGAAGGCUGCAGCAAUGGAAGGAUCAUUACGCCAUGCAGAGCUGUGCAGAAUGGGGAGGCUGGGCAUCGCAGUGCUUCUGAUUACACGGGGAUCUGUGCUAGGAGCCAUCUUUUCAGACAUCCCUGGGCAGAGUUUCUAGAAUGCAAAAUGGAACGAAUCCAGCAAUUUUUCAGCGAAUGAAAAACCCAGGGGGAUUCUGAGAACAUUUUACAAGGUUCUGCCCCUUCUCUGAUAUAUGAACAGCAAAACCUUUGGAGGAAGACAGUGUUUCUGAGCUCUGACAGCCUCUCUGGGAGUACAGCUACACCAGCAAUGGGCUUCAGAGGAACUUUUUGGGGAGCUGCUGCCAUAAGAGCAUGCUGCCUGGCUUCUCAAGGCACUCUGUUGCUCUGUCACUGCUCUCCUGAGAUUCUGCUCUUUAAGUCGGGCAGCCUGCAGUGCUGUGCCUGCCUAUGGGUCUAGGCUGGAAGCCCUUGAGACAUUUGCCAUUAUUGUGUUAAACUUAGACCUUAAUGCAGAUGGUAAAAAGUCACCUGGAGGCCUAGAAGGAGAUAGAAGUGUAGAACGCAGUUGUUCUGCAUUCCAGCUACUGUCUAAGCCCUGAAAUCCCUAUAGGUUUUGAGUGAGCUUAGCUGCAGUAAGGACUUUCCUUGUAUCUUGCAUCUAAUUUCACAAUUCUUACACUAUUAUAAUUACAGUUUUGUCUUACUCUUGGUGUCCUGUGCUGCUCAGAAACCUCUGACAGCCAGGAAUUUCAAUGCCACCAGUACAUGAUUAAGGGAAAAAAAAAAAGAAAAAGCAACAAAAUACAUCUUCUAAUUCUAUUUCUCUGGCAGUAGUUUGCAGUGCUAAGAGUGAUGCUACACUAAGUGUCUUGCUCAUCUGAUCUUAUUUUUCUCUUUAUUAUCUCACAUUGUCUGCUCAUCUGGUUAAUGCUGUUUGAAAUAAGCCUGAUCCCAGGAGCUAAUUGGCACAGUGACAUGAAGUUUGUGGCUCGCGCAGCAAAAUGUAUGAUUUCAGCAUUUGCAAGAAUAACAUAAAUCCCUGCACACAUUUCAUCCUAAAGGCUGCAAAAUCUGCUUGCAGCGUUCUUAUCUCUGUGGAUUAGCGAGUUAUCAGGGAGCUUCACUAUCGUCUGAAUGGAGAUAAGGUGCGGCAAAUCCUUCCCUUCUGCUCCCUG
rnacentral:lncRNA from 1 species